CCUAGGUACAAUUUUCCUUGCAUACAACUGCCCACACUCCCAGUCCUCUUGUGAGUGGACCACACGUUACAUGUCAGCUACUCCUCCGAAAAGAAUUCCAUGAUUUAAAACGCAGACUCUCAUCUAUUAUGCAAAAUCCAUGAUUACAAUGCAAGUUGCUGGCUUCCUAAGAGCGCAGUCCAGCUCUUUCAUAAUGGAGACUGGAUGUCAUUGAGUAUUUUAUAGUGAAUGGUAGUCCUUCAGGACCGAGACUUCAGGCUUUCAGCUGCCUGCCCUCAGCUGUGAAUGCCUGAUUGGAAAGGGGAUGUGUUGCUAACCAGAGAGACAACAGUUAGUCCCUGGGUGUCUGUCAAGGUGGAUGGCAUUGCAAGUAACUGUUUGCCAGUAGUCACCCCGAUACUGAACAUGGUUAUCCUCGGAUGUGCAGCUGUAUCACAGUUAGCCAAGAACAUCGUGCUUACAGAUCUGAGCAACUUGGGCAGAAAUCCUCCUUCACCAGCCAGAAGUCAUGAAACCAAAGGCAGAAAUCAGCAUGAGGAGACCAGGCACCUCAGACUGAUGGCAGAGUUAAUCUUCAGAGCCCAUUAAGGUCAUUUUUGACAUUUCUGUCUGAGGCAGUGCUGGCUUAACCAGCUUGUACCUGCUGCACACCCUCAGCAUGGCUGGGAUAGUUCUCCAUGACCUGGACUGGGGUAGCACAGUGAACUGGAUCAGGCAAGUGACCUGCAGGUUUUCUUUCUGGGCUAUUUUUAAACAGAGAGGCAGAAAUAGAAUAAACUGAUACUGCCAGACA
rnacentral:lncRNA from 1 species